GAAAGAAAUAGUUUAAUCCGGAGAAAACCAGCUUCUAAGAAGCGAAUUAUCGGUUCGAAUCCGAUUUUCUUUCU
rnacentral:tRNA from 1 species